AAUGUUAUGUCUAUGCUAUAGAUCGCCACGCACACGCCACCGAUGCAGAGAAAGCAGCGACCGAACACGAGUUUAAAGAAGUCGGUGAAGCUUAUGCUGUUCUUAGUGACCAGAAAAAGAGAGGGAGGUUUGAUCGCGGUGAAGACUUAGACGGGCCUUCCAUGCAAGACUUCGACCCAAAUAAUAUCUUCCAGAUGUUCUUUGGUGGUGGAGGCAUGGGAGGUGGCAUGGGAGGGGGCAUGGGAGGGGGCAGGGAGGAGGAAUGGGAGGGGGCAAUCCAUUUGGGGGUGGCGGCCACAACGAAGGGUUUCCUGGCGGGUUUUCAUUUCAAUUUGGUUGAAAUAUUUUUCUAUUCACUCAUUUUCACUCUUUCUAUCAAAGCUCCUCUCCAAAGCUUGAGACAAGAUGACCAGAGGUUUAUUCCUAAUUAUUUAUUCUCAAUGUCCUUAAACCAUCUCUUAGCAGUAGAUACAAAUAUUCAAAGCUUUUAAAGCACAUUUCUUCGUGCCUGUUUUGUUAAACCAUUUGAAUCUUAACAAAUUUGGUCAUUUUGUUAUUGUUUUUGAAACCCAAUUCUGAUAAUUUACAAUUAAAUUAUUUUGCCUUUUUCUUUAGCAUGUUUUUGCUUGAAAAUAUGUGGACCUCUAGGUAUAUGCAAUGUUUCUUUUACCCUGAUAGCAUUGUAUAAUCAAAAGUAGUUAAAAUUUGAAAAUAAACUUUUCUUUUUGAGCA